UACGUAGGUGGCAAGCGUUGUCCGGAAUUAUUGGGCGUAAAGCGCGCGCAGGCGGUCCUUUAAGUCUGAUGUGAAAGCCCACGGCUCAACCGUGGAGGGUCAUUGGAAACUGGGGGACUUGAGCCACUUAGGGGCAACCGGAACAAACGGUGGAGCGGUGAAAUGCGUAGAUAUCGUUUGGAACGCCAAUGGUGAAAACAGGUUGCUGGGAGUGUGCUGACGCUGAGACACGAAAGCCAGGGGAGCAAACGGG
rnacentral:rRNA from 1 species